UCGUACCAUGAGUAAUAAUGCG
rnacentral:miRNA from 1 species